UGUCUGUGACUGAACGAACCGGAUUCAUGUCGUCUGUCGGUUCGUGAUUCCUUCAGUUUGUCCUUCUUUUAUCUUAUGGUUCUGUUGGUUCUGUUGGUUCUGUUGGUUCUGUUGUUCUGUGUGGGUUCAUGAUGACGUGGAUCUUGUGCCGCUCCGCACCUUCUGUCACCGGCACCGACCUGAUCUGUUAAAGACGCUGAAUGGAUGAGUCCUGAAGCAGAAGCAGAUACAUGAGCUGAAACAGACUUCUACAGACCAAGGUCCAACAUGAGUGCUGCUCCUUCAUCAGUGGAG